rnacentral:rRNA from 1 species
GAGCAGUGGGGAAUAUUGCACAAUGGGCGAAAGCCUGAUGCAGCGACGCCGCCUGAGGGAUGACGGCCUUCGGGUUGUAAACCUCUUUCAGCAGGGAAGAAGCGAAAGUGACGGUACCUGCAGAAGAAGCGCCGGCUAACUACGUGCCAGCAGCCGCGGUAAUACGUAGGGCGCCAGCGUUGUCCGGAAUUAUUGGGCGUAAAGAGCUCGUAGGCGGCUUGUCACGUCGAUUGUGAAAGCCCGAGGCUUAACCUCGGGUCUGCAGUCGAUACGGGCUAGCUAGAGUGUGGUAGGGGAGAUCGGAAUUCCUGGUGUAGCGGUGAAAUGCGCAGAUAUCAGGAGGAACACCGGUGGCGAAGGCGGAUCUCUGGGCCAUUACUGACGCUGAGGAGCGAAAGCGUGGGGAGCGAACAGGAUUAGAUACCCUGGUAGUCCACGCCGUAAACGGUGGGAACUAGGUGUUGGCGACAUUCCACGUCGUCGGUGCCGCAGCUAACGCAUUAAGUUCCCCGCCUGGGGAGUACGGCCGCAAGGCUAAAACUCAAAGGAAUUGACGGGGGCCCGCACAAGCGGCGGAGCAUGUGGCUUAAUUCGACGCAACGCGAAGAACCUUACCAAGGCUUGACAUACGCCGGAGAACGUCUGGA